UACAGAGGUCUCAAGCGUUGUUCGGAUUCAUUGGGCGUAAAGGGUGCGUAGGCGGCGCGGUAAGUCGGGUGUGAAAUCUCGGAGCUUAACUCCGAAACUGCAUUCGAUACUGCCGUGCUUGAGGACUGGAGAGGAGACUGGAAUUUACGGUGUAGCGGUGAAAUGCGUAGAUAUCGUAAGGAAGACCGGUGGCGAAGGCGGGUCUCUGGACAGUUCCUGACGCUGAGGCACGAAGGUCAGGGGGAGCAAACGGG
rnacentral:rRNA from 1 species